rnacentral:rRNA from 1 species
AUGAACGCUGGCGGCGUGCUUCACACCUGCCAGUCGCACGAUGAAGCCCAGCUUGCUGGGUGGAUUAGUGGCGAACGGGUGAGUAACACGUGAGUAACCUGCCCUUGACUCUGGGAUAAGCCUGGGAAACUGGGUCUAAUACUGGAUAUGACUUCUCAUCGCAUGGUGGGGGGUGGAAAGAUUUAUUGGUCUUGGAUGGACUCGCGGCCUAUCAGCUUGUUGGUGAGGUAAUGGCUCACCAAGGCGACGACGGGUAGCCGGCCUGAGAGGGUGACCGGCCACACUGGGACUGAGACACGGCCCAGACUCCUACGGGAGGCAGCAGUGGGGAAUAUUGCACAAUGGGCGCAAGCCUGAUGCAGCGACGCCGCGUGAGGGAUGACGGCCUUCGGGUUGUAAACCUCUUUCAGUAGGGAAGAAGCGAGAGUGACGGUACCUGCAGAAGAAGCGCCGGCUAACUACGUG